GGGCGAUUAGCUCAGCGGUAGAGCACUACCUUGACAUGGUAGGGGUCACAGGUUCGAACCCUGUAUCGCCCACCA
rnacentral:tRNA from 13 species